UCUGCUUCUGCCAGUUGCCGCCCCAACAAGAAUGGUUUCACCCAAAUUUGGAUUGUUAGUUUAAUGCAGUUUGAAAUUUUAGGAGUGGCACAGCAUGGCUUGGAGUGCUGACACAUACACAGACAUAAGAACUCAUGGACACCCAGACAGAAACACACAGCCAUGGUCACAUGGACACACAGACAGGUCUCUGCAGGCCAGUGCACACCUGCUCUCCACUGAGCUGCAACACAUUGGUUUUAUUGACACAGAGAAAGGCUGUGGCUUUAUGCCCUGGACCUGUAUCCGUGUGUGUGGAUUUCUUUCCAGUGUCCUAAAGGACAAUUCGGGAGUCCCCACAGGAGAGCAAAGGGAGAAAGAGAGGGAACUGACAAUGGGAGAGAAGGAAACCCAGGAGCCGUCAAUCGUGAGCUCCACGAUCCCUGCCCGAUCCCCUGCCCCCCAGCCCGACCCCGCCGCUUCCGACGUGCAGAGAGCCGAGCGCCGCCCCGCACCCCCCGCGCUCGCCUCCCCUCCGUUCCCUGCCAGCACUCGGCGAGAGCCCGAGCGGCAGCGGCGCAGGGCUCAGCCCCGGGGCGGAGCUGGCGGCGGCCCAGAGGAGGCGGCUCGGCCGCAGCAGAGCCGGGGCUCAGGGCUACAGCGAGACUCGGCCGGCGGAGCGGCGGCAUGCGGCGGUAUCGGGGCGCGGGGCUGGCGGCACUGGCCGCGCUGCUGCUCGUGACUUCAGGCAGAACCCAGGUGCAGCAGGAGCCAUUCCUGGAGAUCACCGAGGGCACCGGCAUCAACAUCACCUGCUCACACCCAAAUAAACUGAGCGGCUAUUACAUCCAUUUCUACCGUCUGCUCCCUGGCCGAGGACCCGAACUCCUCGUGAGCGCUGCUAGUGGCUCCAAGGAUGUGCCGGCCAUUGCAGGAAAGCUGUCGGUGUCGGAGGACGGGCGUUCGAGCGCGCUGUGGCUCGCUGGGCCCCGGCGCGGGGACGCGGCCGUGUAUUACUGCGCGCUGGGGGCCACGGCCAGAGGAGCCGGGGCUGCGGCCGGGCACGAACCGCCGCGGGCGGGGCCGGCCGGGGCCAGCAGGGGGCGCUGCCGCUCCGCCCUCCCGGGCCGCGGCUCCGCAGCUCCUUCCUCUGCCCCGAGCCCGCCCCACCGACAGCGCCAAUGACAGCGAAAAGGCCGGCACACUCCGGGCCGGAUUGCCCUCACUUCAACUGCUAUUGCUUC